CUUCCUCCCAGAAGGAUGCUGGAGAGGCAAAGACCAACAAGUCUACCCUGGGGACCCAUGUGCCUGUCUUUCCUGCAAGGUCUGUUAAAGGUUAGUAGCAUAUUCAUGUCUGUAUUAUAAUACAACCCAAAACCUGAGGCAAAGAGAAGGAAUUUCCUGUUACUGUGAAGAACAGCAGAUAGAUAGUCUGCAUGGCCAGGGUAUACCAGGACCUGUCUUCUCUGUCUCCUGCCAAACCAUGUUUAGGGAGGGCUUGUGCUGCAAUGCUGUGGAAAGGAGCAGCCCUUGCUUUCCAUUCCAGCUGCUUUUGUUUGGACAGGUAAGUAUGGAUGUGAAUUCCUCCCUUCUGAAAAGGCCAGAAGAGCCUGUUCCAGGUGACAGGGAUACAAACUGAAAGGGCUUCUGUGGAUUUAAUGGGAAAGGCAUAUUUUAACAGCUGUUUUUGUUCCAGAAGACUGACUUGGCCUACAAGGAAAUGGAUGGGAAGCAGUACAGGCAAGAGGCAUGGAUGAGCUGCACAGCAUCUCAUAAUUCCUGGGCAGCAGCCUAGCCACAGGGCCUGUUUUCUAUCUCACAGCUUUCCAUGGGAUAAGGUUGGUGGCAAGUGGUGCUUAGUUUCUUCUCUGCUUUCAGGUUUCUCUGCUUUUUGGAAUGGCAUCUACUGAUGCUGGAGACCAAGUGUUGGCCAGGGAUACUCAGAGUAUUGCAGAUCUGCCUGGGAAGGAGAAGCUGCUUGGAUAAGGAGCAGUUGCUCUGAGCAGGAGGUUCCAACCUGCUCCGGUUUUAACCUCCAGAGAGAGAAAGGAAGUUUUUGUGGCCAAUUCAAAUAAUCCUGGUGGUACUUCCAGUGCACGUUCCACAGCUGGAAACUGGAGUCAACCUGAGGCAAGUCCUUGGGUCAGCAGCACUGCGUGGAGCGUAUGGAAAGGUGGGUAAGAACAAGAAAGACACUGAUUGUGAAUGAGCAACCAGAGCACAGAGAUGCUGGGCUCUGUCUCAUCACAACCACUGCACAUUGCUUUUGUUCACUGGAGAGGUGGUAAUGGGAAGAGUCCAAGAUGCUCCUCUCCACAGUUCCCAAGUUACUCCAUUGAUCAUCUCUGGUGGGUUGACCCUGGCCAGCUUCCCACAAAAAACAAUUCAUCACUCCCCUCCUCAGCCAGAGAGGGGAGAGAAUGUAAUGGGCUGCAGGGGGAUAUCUGCUCCACAUGGACCUCCAUGGACUGCAGGGGGAUUGUGCAUUGUCUCUGCAGAGAUUUGGGAGAAGGGUGGGCCAGGAGAGGAAAAAAUGUGUCCCUUUUACCCGGUUAAGAUCUGGAAUUCCUUUGCAGCUAAUGUGCAGCUCAUGUGUCUCCCAACGUGACUCUUGCUGUAUUAUAUUUAGCUGUAAAACCCAACUGUGCUUGGGUUUCCCUCUGCAGCUCUUGGAGGAGGGAUUUUAUCCCUGCCCUCUGUUGAGCAUCCUUUCCAGAUCUCACCCUGUUGUGCUCAUCUCUUGCAGGCCAUUCUUCUCACUGAGAGUUACACUUGGAGCAGGGAAGGAGAACAGGACUGCAAGGCCAGAUAGGAUUGUUUGGGUUGGACAAAGAUGCUUAGCCCUUCCUGGGCUGUGUAGCUUGAUGUAGCAGGUAGGUUUAUUUAUUCUCAUCACACUAAGACUUUUAUUCAUGCUUCUUGGGCAGCUCAGCUGAGGAGCACUUUGAGCUUUGGAGCCAGGAGGAAUUCAUGCUGUUGGUAGAUAGCCCUGUGCCCACUGGGUAGCCUGGGAGGAAGGAAAGGCGUUCUCCUCCAGUUUUAAUGUUCUCUGGCUCUCAGCUUUUCAUUCCUGGCCACACAAGUGUCAAAAAAGAGCUGUUUUGAUGUUUAACUGCAUUAGAGGGCUGUAACCUCAGGGCCCACGUUAACAGUAUCCUUUUGCAGCCAAAGUGGAGGGUGAGAGACCAGGGUGUCUCACAGCUACAUACUGUUCUAUUGUGCUGUGGUUUAGAUCUGCUGGUGGGAGCAACCAGAAGCUGUGUGUGAAUGGGUGUUAAACGUGUUUCUGCGUUCAAAUGUCACUUUCUCAAGUAUCAUGUGCUGUAUUUGCAUGGGGCUUGUGGGAUCUCAGUGUGCAACCACAAAAAGCAGCUGGAGCACAGGACCUCCUGAAGGCAUCCAUCCAGAUGCUUCUAGUGCUUUGGGUGGCAUAGUCCAGUGUGAGGUGUCCCUGCCCGUGGCAGGGAGUUGGAACUGGAUGAGCUUUAAGGUCCCUUUAACCUAAACCAGUCUGGACUCUCUGAUGCACUUGCAGGCUUGACUGAAAGUCCAUUUUGGUAGAAAAACUUCCACUGGUGCCAGCAGAGGCUGGGUCACAGCUUGACAAUGGGCUUUUGUGAUGGAGAACCCACCUUCAUACCACCAUUGCACUGCAAGGUAAUGGAGCUGCAUCAGCCAUGUACCACCUGCUGCCUGACAGCAAGGGGAGGAGAAGCACCUCACUUGCAAGUCUCUGGGGUGGACCAGGGGUUUCAGCCCAUGGCUGGGCUCCAGUUGUCUUCCUGGAGUGUUUGUGGCAGCUCCUGUGCAUCCUUUGAGCUCCACAACAAGAAGCAUGGUGAGGGAUUACUGUGAACAUGGGAAGUUUCUCACCUCAGGCCAAGCCCAGGAAUGUGGGAUGGAUUUGGACCAACUUCUAUUUUUCUUUUAGAAUUUUAUUUAAAAAUAAAAAUAGAGCCUUGGGCAAGAGCCAGAAAAAUCUGAUCCCAAAAGGUGGAUGUGUUGUGGAGUGGGGAGCAUGUGAAAACAGCUGCUUAAACUGAAACCAUUUCACAGAUUGAAGUACAGAAACUUCCCAAAACCUGUUCUAAAACCUGGAGUGAACUCUUCUUGAAAGGCAGAGGUAGGAGAAGAGGCCAUCAGCAAGUCACCUGAACCACUCCCAAAGCCACAGGCAGCUGCAGGACCCAGAGAGAAGCCAAGCCAAAUGAGAAGAGGCUUUUGGACCGUGUAAGGACUCUACAGCAGCACGUUGUGCAGUGGAGGAAGGGCUGGUGUGAGGUGAGAGCCAAAACUGCACUGCCCUAUGCCAUGAAAACCAGUGGACGGGCUGCUGAAGGUGGGAAUGGGGUCCUGGGGAGAAGGAGGUCUGCAGCUGGGAGGCUUUACAGCCACUAUUGGUGUCAUUACAGCUGAACAGGGGCUAAUUACAGCAAGGCUUUGAUGCACAAGGUGCUGCAUUGAUCUCAUCCUGGGCAGCACAGAAAAGGGGGAGCAGUGCUCUUGAGCUGCCUGGAUGGUUUCCAAUAAGCACAAUGUGUGGCUGUCAUUGUCCUCUUUGUGAUGGACUGUGCUCUGCUGGAGCCCAAGGCCUCAAAACCACAUCUUGUAGGUGGAUUAAGUUAAAAUAAGGAAGAAAUUAGAUUUUCUUGCUCAAUGAUCUGUGAUGUGUCCAUUUUUAGUGGAUGAAUGUGCCUACACGUGUCUGUGCUCUAAAGGAUGCUUGACUCCAUUUGCUAUACUAUAUAUAGAAUAUAGCCUGCCUAUACUAUAGGUAGGCUAUUUUCUUUACAGGUUAAUACUGCUUUCCUAUGCACUCAGGAGAUCAAAAGGGGCUGCCUUAUGGGAUGCUUUAAGGAGAUGCCUUAUGUUCAGCCCAAUCCCACUGAGGUCCUCCCAGAGGACCCCUGAGGACAGCAGUGGGGGGCAGUGGUGCUUCAGCUUGAUGCCUCCUUCCCAGCUUCAUACUUAAUGGGCACUGGCUUUUGAACAUGGUGAAACCACACAGCAGCAAAUCCACAGCUGAGUAAGUCCACAGAGAACUGAUCUCGCCUACUUGCAAGAACCCAUGCUACAUUUGCUUUUGAUUCAAUGGUGGAGAGGAAAAGGAAGGGAGAGGACAUUUUGGCGAAGGACCUGGCAGCACAGCAUGGAAGGUGAGGCUGAUCUGAAAGCAGUGCUCAAUUAGCCCAAGGCAACUGGGACCAAAUGCAGCAUCUUGAAGUUACUGUCUUCUCUUAGGUAGCUGAAGGACUAUCCUUUAUUAGGAUCAGAAACUUCCAGCUAUGUGGGCUUGCCUUCCAAAACUAUGCACAUAUCCAGACUCUUUCCAGCUGGGCGCACUCUUCUGGAGCCGAGAUUCUGGAAAGGACAAGCAGCUCUUCCCUUGUUUUACCUGAACAUAUCUGUAUGCUGCCUGCUCCUGUCCCACAUCCUAAUGCAUCUCCUUUGCUGCAGCACUGGGAUGUGGGUGCCCACUACAGCCCUUGUUUUAAGCCUCCUAGAAGAAAACUUGUAUGUGAAGGUUGGAGAGGGUCAUGCUUGUUCUGUGCUUUCUAACAAUCUCUCACUGGCAAGGGGCCACCCUGGAGUGUCCAAUUCCUUGUCAUUACCUAGAGAAAAGCUGGUUUUGCCUUCCUUUGGCUUUCUUAGAAGCUGGGCAUGAGGAAAGGUGCUCUCCUCUCCAAGGUGACAUGGUGCAAAUCCUCACACUAGCACCCAGUGGAUGUAGGACAGAGAAAGGCUUUCCAAUGCCACAUCAUAGUGCUGGUGCAUCACAGAAUCGUUUCACCAGGGUGCUGGGGUAUGUCUGCUCUUCCAGGAUGAGGAGGCAUAAGGCAAAAUCAGAGCAGGAUGAGCAGAGAGCUACUGAAUAAGUUAUUAGGGAAGAAAAAGCUGGUUUUCAGGUUCCAGAAUUUGGGAGCCCACAGCUUUUCCAUCACCUUGGGUUAGAAAGGGUGACAAAGUGGCCAUGGGCUGGAGUUUCCAGCUAUCUUUGUUGAUUCCAAGGGGAAAGAUGUAUAUGCUGAAGCCUGACCAAAGCCCCUCCUGGAGGAUCCAUUUCCUGGGAACUCUCACUUUGAUGGCUGUGAAAUCCAUAACAUUUUUCUUCUUGUAUCUGGGAAACUGCAGUUGAGCUCCUGUGGGGCUGGUCUUUGCUUAAAUAAAUUACAGUAAAAAUAACUCCCAAAUGCAACACCAACAUGGGCACGUAAAUCAAAGUCUGGCGUGCCCAUUAAGGUAAAGUGUCUCCUUCUGCAGGAGCUGUCUGUGGAAGUGCCAUCCUGAAAGUGAAAUCCAACUGAGAGGGAGGAGGUAAGGUCCCAUCAAGAUAGGACUCACAAAUCCAUCAGCAGCUUCACUUCAGAAGAGAUACAAGGCUUUAACAGGGCUGUCAGCAGCAUUCUUCAGGUCACACUGCUGCAUAAAAGAGAGUGUUAGAACCUGGGACUUAAACUAAACAGAUUUCCUAUAGGAAACACACACAAAAUUACAUUGCUUCUAAAGUUACUUUUAUAGACAUUUUCCCUGAGAAAUAUUUCUCCCUGGAAAAAUAAAUUCACAGGAUGUAAUUAAAACAGUUCUAUGUGUACACUGGACUGGCCCCCUUUAAGUGCUUCACCAAAUGCACCACUAAAUAAAGGAAUGAAAGCCAGCUUUGUUUAACUCUAUUAAUAACAAUAUGUAUUAAUUAUAAAAUGAGACAUUGUCCUGCCUGGUUUAUGGUUAUGAAAAUAGCCUUUAAUAAGGCUGAGACUGGAGUGCUCAGCUUUGCAGUUGUCUGCACUGUUAAUAGGGCUUUCAAAAUCUCCCCUAAUCUACUUCUUUUACUUGUCAAAUCCUGGCUUGAUAAAGGCAAUGGGGCUCAGAUUCCACACCCCAUGGAUUCUGGCAAUAACCAGGUGCUGAUGACUGUAAUCUUUUCUGCUUUUCUUGCCAUUUAGCUUUGGUUAAACAAAAAGGGGCAACUGCAUUGUAUUAGUUUAACUUCCAUGCUUUGGGGAACAAAGCCUGAAGAGAUUUGUAGUGAUCUAUCACUGCAUUAAAUGCUCCCAAAUCUGCUUGGAUAAUUAGGGAUAAUGAUUCCCUCCAUACCUGCAUGGCCCAGUCCAGCCACAUGUGGGAAAGGAAGGCAGUCUGUUUAUGAGGCCCUCAGUGCCAUGGGCACAACUGGCCAGGUUUUGUGUCUCUCUCUGCAGCACACAAGGUGAUGGCUAUAAUGCAUCUCCAGCCCGGGACUUCUUUAUUGAGUGGAGAGGGCUCAAUUCAAUAAAUAUACAUCCGGCUCCUUCGCAGUCCUAGGCUGGCUUAAUGAAACUGUGCGAGGCACUUCCAAGAGAAGGAUGUUUAUUUUUCUCUGCUGAUUCAGUUAGGCUGGUCCAGCUCUUGUGUGCCCAGAGAGCUGCUCUAUAAAGAGACCCUUGUGAUUGCAGCGGGGAUGCUGUGUCAGGCAGUAAGUGCCUGCACUCACUCAACACUGGGAUUCGCUUGCUGCAGGGAAGGGGGUGCGGGCGGACGGCUGGAUUUGCUAUACACAAUGCACGGGGAGAAAAAAGCCUGCUAAGAGCACAGUGUUAAGGUGGGAAAGUCAAGCACUUGCAAGGCAGAUAGAGCUAGAGCUGUCUGGAGAGCAGGCUUAAUUCAUCUGUUUAUGGGAGCACAUUAUGAAACACGCUCCCAUUUUUGCAUAGUCCUGUGCUUGUUUCUUAGGUAAUAGCAUUUUCUACCUUUUGCCAGAACUUGCCACCUUCACAGAGUACUUUUCCCGUAGAUAAUCCAACACCACAAAGAUCCCAAUGCCUGUUCCUAGCUGGAAGCAGCAGUGAAGUCAGGCAGCUCCAAAAGGAAGGUGGAGAUGUAGAUACUGCCAUGGAGGACUUGGUGAGCCUUUUAUCACUAAUGCAGGCUUAUGAGCUGCUUGGUCAGUGCUGGUGAGACCAAGUUUGAUGGCAGCAGCCCUACUGCAAGACACUGGGAGUCCCUUAGGCCUGCCUCAAAUGCCUUGAUGGGUUGGACUACAUGGAUUUCAAAGGUCCAUCCAACCCAAACCAUUUAACUUCUCUAUGUGUCAGGAGGCAAACGCUGCUUUGGGACAUUCUGCCUCUUUGCAAUGAAGUAGGAAAACCUGGCAGUGGCAGUGGGGAUGGACUCAUGCAGAAAAGCCAGAUGCAUUCAGAUGCCAGUAGUUCAGGGUGAUUGCUGUCCUCUUUGGGCCUUGCAUUGAAUGUUCACAGAAUAAACCAUGUUCUUUGCCUGAGGGACCUUCAGCCAAAGCCACAAGGCAGAGGAAGUGUCCCUCUGACAAUGCCAGCAUUGUCAGCAAUAAGCAGUGGGAAAUCAGGAGUCAGGUCCCUCCUGACCCUUAGUUCCUGAUGUGCAACUGAUUUUGCAAAGCACCAGAUUCAAACAACCCAUGGAUUUAGUUCUUUCAUUUUUGCCUUCCCAUUCACAAUCUCAGCUUUCUACGCAGUGAGGAAGCCCACAGUGUAUUUCUGAAUGAAAGCUGAGUGCCUUUCACAGCAUCUUUGGCUCUGCUUCCCACGACAGGGGAUUAGGAAAUCUCCAUCUUCCCACUGAAAGGAGGGAGGGCAAUGGCUCAGGGACCAUCAGAGACCUGCCAAAAAUCACAAAGUGAGGGGCAGGGGUGGGAACCCAGUUCCUAUGAGUGGUAAUCUGCUACCUUCCUACUUGUCUUGCCCUCAGCUGCUUUGGGACGAGCCAGUCUUGCUGCUUUGAGUUAGAUUUGCUUCCUACUUUGCUACUUAUGGCAAUGUUUAAUGGUUGUAAUAAACCAGAAGGCAUUCCUUUCAAAUUAGGUUGAUCUGCAAAACCCAACCAAGUGUUUCCAUUACUACAGCUGCUUAUCCCUUCAGCUGAGGACAGAGGCAGUAUGCUGCAGGCUGGAAAGGGUGUCCAUCCAUCUACAGGCUGCUGUCAGCUCUUGGGAGAAAUGGCCAUCUGGAGCCUUCCUCUGAUGGGCAGAUGUGGGAACAUCAAAGGAGAAGCAGGCACCUCCUUUACCUCAGUCACCAAACGGAACACCUCCUUGCAGGCAGGUUAGAAAACAACAUAAAAUCUGCUGAGGACAAGUUUCCUUUGACAGCAAAGAGCUGCCCAGAAAUGAGUCAAGCAGGAACGGUUCAGACCUCCCCCACUCUCACCAGGGGAUUUGCAGACAAAAGGGAUUUAUUUAUUUAUGUUUUUUUUUUUUUGCUAUUUUUUCUUUUCAGAAAAUACUCAGAUUUUGAUGGGAAAAUACAACUGGGAACUUUUUUCCUCCCUUUGUUUUUGCCUUUUGAACAACUUUUGUUGCCACUUGUGUGGAAUUGUCAGAAAUACCUUGAGGAAAGCAAAUGCAGGAAAAAAGAGAAGAGCUGUAACAGCUUGGGAGGAGAAGAGUUUAUUUCAUAGAUCAUAGAAUCACAGGAUAGUUUGGGUUGGAAAGGCCCUUAAACCUCAUCCAGUUCCAACCCCCUGCUACAGGCAGGGAUACCUUCCACUAGAGCAGCUUGCUCCAAGCCCCAUCCAACCUGGCCUUGAACACUGCCAGGGAUGGGGCAUCCAAAUACUUGUAAGCAUGUUUGCUCCAUGAGCUGGGGGCCUGUGGCCAAGGUAUGUGCUGCCACCCUCUUUCAGCCUAACCCACACCUCUCUGAGUACAACCAGGAUGAAAUGCAACCUUUUAUGGAGCAAGUUUUCCUUAAGGGUGCCAUUGCAUGGUGAAGCCAGUGUAAUCUUCCCUCUGGGACCACCUUGGGGCUGGCAUGCUCCAUGCAGGACUGACUGUGCUGCUCAGCUGGGAGCAGCAGGUGUACUGGUCAUCUGUCUCAUUUUGUGCCAUGCUGAAGCUGAGAGCAUGUCUGUAAGUACAGAAAUACGUAACAAUUUGUGGAGAAGAGAGACUGUGGUUAAAUGGAGGCAUUUGCUGCAAGAACUGAAUGAACCUCAAAUCGUGAGUGAUCCAGACACUGGUGUUCCAGCUUCAUCUGGCCUGUUUACCCUCACUUUGUUCCUCUCUGCUUUGUCCAUGGGGACAAAUACCAUAUUACAAGUAAACACGCUACAUCCUCUGCUGCCCUUCCUUGCCUGUCUGCACUUUCCCCAUGGGAGAAGAGAGAAGAGCCAGUUCUGCAUGACACAGUGAGUAAACAAAUCUAUUUUAAAGACAGAUUGUGCUGAGCAGGAGCGGCCUCUCCCUAAGAGCUUUGAAAACUGGCAUUGCAUUCCUGCUGGGAAAGCAGUAAAGUACAAAGGUUUCUGUCCCUUGCACUAACUAUCCCCUUGUGCACACAGGCAUUAUGGCUUUUGGUCUGGGGCCAUGUGUAUGAACGCCCAUGGACUAACAUGCCUUUUUCCUCUGGAUGAGACCAGCAAUCCAACACCACACUUUGCAGCUGGAAGAGCUCAUUAAAUCUAGUCCCAUUAAAUAUGUGGGGGCUGCAGACGACGCAACAGCUAAGAAAGCUGUUCUGAUCUGUCUUGUGCUAUAUUCAGGCACAGCAACGGGGAACUGAGAUGUAUGUGGCUGCUCCCCUGCUCAUGAGCAGACACAGAGGGUCAGUAGCUAGAUGCAGUUGUACAUUGGAAACCAAGAAGGGAACACAGAGGAGCACAAUGUGGUGGGUCUCUUCUGCUGGGAUGCCUGCAAACCCAGCGAAGGCAUCUCCCAAAGAGUGGCCAGUCCGGAGCCCAUACCAAUCCUAGAAAGCCUUUCAUAAACACAGGGAAGCCAAGCUGAGGGCUGGAGUUCCACCUGUCCCCACUGUCUAGUUCCCAGAUCUGGUCCCUUUGACUCAAGGAGAGCCAAAGGCACAGCGUGCCCAGAGAAGCUGUG